CCUACGGGUGGCAGCAGUGGGGAAUAUUGGGCAAUGGGCGCAAGCCUGACCCAGCAACGCCGCGUGCAGGAAGAAGGCCCUCGGGUUGUAAACUUCUUUUAUUCGGGACGAAACAAAUGACGGUACCGAAUGAUUAAGCCACGGCUAACUAUGUGCCAGAAGCCGCGGUAAUACGUAGGUGGCAAGCGUUAUCCGGAUUUACUGGGUGUAAAGGGGGAGUAGGCGGGAGGGCAAGUUAGACGGGAAAUUCCAGGGCUCAACCCUGGAACUGCGUUUGAAAUUGUUCUGCUUGAGUGAUGGAGAGGCAGGCGGAAUUCCGUGUGUAGCGGUGAAAUGCGUAGAUAUACGGAGGAACACCAGUGGCGAGGGCGGCCUGCUGGACAUUAACUGACGCUGAGGCGCGAAAGCGUGGGGAGCAAACAGGAUUAGAUACCCUAGUAGUC
rnacentral:rRNA from 1 species